rnacentral:rRNA from 1 species
AAGACAUGCAAGUCGAACGGAAGCCGUUUGAAAUUAAUUGAUUGGAUAUGAGGACUUGUCCAAUUUGAAGAGAUGUUAAUUUAAACAUAUGACUUUAGUGGCGGACUGGUGAGUAACGCGUAAGCAAUCUGCCUAUCAGAGGGGAAUAACAGCGAGAAAUCGUUGCUAAUACCGCAUAUGCUUAAGUAUCGCAUGGUACAAUAAGGAAAGGAGCAAUCCGCUGAUAGAUGGGCUUGCGUCUGAUUAGAUAGUUGGUGGGGUAACGGCCUACCAAGUCGAUGAUCAGUAGCCGGACUGAGAGGUUGAACGGCCACAUUGGGACUGAGAUACGGCCCAGACUCCUACGGGAGGCAGCAGUCGGGAAUAUUGCGCAAUGGAGGAAACUCUGACGCAGUGACGCCGCGUGCAGGAAGAAGGUUUUCGGAUUGUAAACUGCUUUAGACAGGGACGAAACAAAUGACGGUACCUGUAGAAUAAGCUCCGGCUAACUACGUGCCAGCAGCUGC